rnacentral:rRNA from 1 species
UACGUAGGGUGCAAGCGUUGUCCGGAAUUAUUGGGCGUAAAGAGCUCGUAGGCGGUUUGUCGCGUCGGCUGUGAAAACCUGGGGCUCAACCCCGGGCCUGCAGCCGAUACGGGCAAACUAGAAUUCGGUAGGGGAGACUGGAAUUCCUGGUGUAGCGGUGAAAUGCGCAGAUAUCAGGAGGAACACCCGGUGGCGAAGGCGGGUCUCUGGGCCGAUAUUGACGCUGAGGAGCGAAAGCGUGGGGAGCAAACAGG